UACGAAGGGUGCAAGCGUUACUCGGAAUUACUGGGCGUAAAGCGUGCGUAGGUGGUUUUUUAAGUCCGUUGUGAAAGCCCUGGGCUCAACCUGGGAAUGGCAGUGGAAACUAGGGGACUGGAAUCUGGCAGAGGGGGGUGGAAUGCCGCGUGUAGCAGUGAAAUGCGUAGAGAUGCGGCGGAACACCGAUGGCGAAGGCAGCCCCCUGGGCUGAGAUUGACGCUCAGGCACGAAAGCGUGGGGAGCAAACAGG
rnacentral:rRNA from 1 species